GGCUAGCCCCGAUGGUAACGGCAUCCUUUUAUGGUGGGGUUCACCAUAAAAGAUAUAGGGGACAGCGGGACAAAUG
rnacentral:sRNA from 2 species